GAUGAACGCUGGCGGCGUGCCUAAUACAUGCAAGUCGAGCGAACGGACGAGAAGCUUGCUUCUCUGAUGUUAGCGGCGGACGGGUGAGUAACACGUGGAGAACCUACCUAUAAGACUGGUAUAACUUCGGGAAACCGGAGCUAAUACCGGAUAAUAUUUUGAACCGCAUGGUUCAAAAGCGAAAGACGGUCUUGCUGUCACUUAUAGAUUGCUCCGCGCUGCAUUAGCGAGUUGGUAAGGUAACGGCUUACCAAGGCACCGCUGCAUAGCCGACCUGAGAGGGUGAUCGGCCACACUGGAAGUGAGACACGGUCCAGACUCCUACGGGAGGCAGCAGUAGGGAAUGUUGCGCAAUGGGCGAAAGACUGACGGAGCAGCGCCGCGUGAGUGAUGAAGGUCUUCGGAUCGUAAAACUCUGUUAUUAGGGAAGAACAUAUGUGUAAGUAACUGUGCACAUCUUGACGGUACCUAAUCAGAAAGCCACGGCUAACUACGUG
rnacentral:rRNA from 1 species